GGAGGGUUGCCCGAGACUGGCUCAUGGGGACCGAUUUAUAAUCGGCUGUAGGUGAUGAUCCCACCUAACGAGGGUUCGAAUCCCUCACCCUCCG
rnacentral:tRNA from 1 species